AGCAUUGGUCACCGUGAUAUUCUGUACUGUAUUGUACCUAAACGAGAACCGGUGAUACUAAACAUCAAUUUGUAAAAGGAAAUUUAGAUUUGUCAAAAGAUGAUGAUGCAUUUAGUGGAUGCACUGCUCGUGGUUACUUUCUUUCAAUCAAUUUCAACAAAUGGGCACCCCUGAAAAUGGAGCCUCGACCAAUUUGAAAAAUUCAGUGACAAAAAACGGUUGGAUAUUGAAAGCAAUAGCUUUCCUGA